rnacentral:rRNA from 1 species
GUGCCAGCCGCCGCGGUAAUACAGAGGGUGCAAGCGUUGUUCGGAAUUAUUGGGCGUAAAGCGCGUGUAGGCGGCCAACCAAGUCGGGUGUGAAAGCCCUCGGCUCAACCGAGGAAGUGCGCCCGAAACUAGCUGGCUUGAGUACCAGAGAGGGUGGCGGAAUUCCCGGUGUAGAGGUGAAAUUCGUAGAUAUCGGGAGGAACACCAGCGGCGAAGGCGGCCACCUGGAUGGAUACUGACGCUGAGACGCGAAAGCGUGGGGAGCAAACAGGAUUAGAUACCCCGGUAGUCC